rnacentral:lncRNA from 1 species
UAAAGGAGUAGGUCCGGUAAGGGCCGAUUUUGACCCCAAAUUUCACGUUCAUCGAACGAAAGAUUUUGGACACUUUUUAAACACUUAAGUGUCUAUUUAAAUUGAUUCAAUUAGUUUCUGUAAAGAAUUUUAACUGAUUUAGUAAUUAAAAACGCUCCGAUUCAAGCUUAAAUAUGAAAAAUAUAUCAAAUAUGCCAAAAAACGUCACUUUUCAGAUGGUUUUUGUCAAAAAUGAAAAUGACCGCAUCCGUGUUCAUCCUCAACCUUUAUAUAUGUUAUGUAUUAUCAUCAAAUACAACUUACAUUUCAAUAUUAUGA